rnacentral:ncRNA from 1 species
AAGAAUAUCUGUUUAUUAGGCAAUCCGAACUUGCCUAAUAGCCGGUACAGGGAAUUUGGUGAGAACCCAAAACUGACGCGCAACGGUAAGACGUAAGUCGAGUCCGACCUCUAACCGGCAGGUAUCAU